GACGAACGCUGGCGGCAUGCCUAACACAUGCGAGUCGAGCGAAUGAAGUUCCUUCGGGAACGGAUUUGGCGGCGGACGGGUGAGUAACACGUGGGCAACCUGCCUCAUAGAGGGGAAUAGCCUUCCGAAAGGGAGAUUAAUACCGCAUAAGAUUGUAGUACCGCAUGGUACAGCAAUUAAAGGAGCAAUCCGCUAUGAGAUGGGCCCGCGGCGCAUUAGCUAGUUGGUGAGGUAACGGCUCACCAAGGCGACGAUGCGUAGCCGACCUGAGAGGGUGAUCGGCCACAUUGGGACUGAGACACGGCCCAGACUCCUACGGGAGGCAGCAGUGGGGAAUAUUGCACAAUGGGGGAAACCCUGAUGCAGCAACGCCGCGUGAGUGAUGACGGCCUUCGGGUUGUAAAGCUCUGUCUUCAGGGACGAUAAUGACGGUACCUGAGGAGGAAGCCACGGCUAACUACGUG
rnacentral:rRNA from 1 species